rnacentral:rRNA from 1 species
AUUGAACGCUGGCGGCAGGCCUAACACAUGCAAGUCGAAUGGUAACAGGAAACAGCUUGCUGUUUCGCUGACGAGUGGCGGACGGGUGAGUAAUGUCUGGGAAACUGCCUGAUGGAGGGGGAUAACUACUGGAAACGGUAGCUAAUACCGCAUAACGUCGCAAGACCAAAGAGGGGGACCUUCGGGCCUCUUGCCCUCAGAUUUGCCCAGAUGGGAUUAGCUAGUAGGUGGGGUAACGGCUCACCUAGGCGACGAUCCCUAGCUGGUCUGAGAGGAUGACCAGCCACACUGGAACUGAGACACGGUCCAGACUCCUACGGGAGGCAGCAGUGGGGAAUAUUGCACAAUGGGCGCAAGCCUGAUGCAGCCAUGCCGCGUGUAUGAAGAAGGCCUUCGGGUUGUAAAGUACUUUCAGCGGGGAGGAAGGGAGUAAAGUUAAUACCUUUGCUCAUUGACGUUACCCGCAGAAGAAGCACCGGCUAACUCCGUG